CAGCAGCCAGAGGGCUACCAGUCCUUCACUCUCACUCCUACUCCUUUUUAUUGCCACAUGCACCCCUCCCGCUCUUUCUCUGUCUCUUUUUCUCACUCUCUCGCCCUCUGUGUAUCUCAGGGCUAAAUCGCAUCCUUUUGUACAUCACCACCCCAUUUCAGAUGAGAGAGUUGGCAGAGGGAGCAAAAACUGGAGGAAAAAAAGAAGAUGUGUAUGUGCGUGUGAAUGUGCGUCCAAAGACAAAGCCGUGAAAAUCCUCAUUCCUCAUCUGCCUCGUCACAUCUACUGCCAUCAACAGGUUUCUGUGAGGCUGCAUCAUCAGUUAUGACUCGACCCACACAGAACCUGCUGCCCACAGAAUUCCACAGAAAUCUCUGCAGAGCCCAGCAGACUUCAAAUGCACAUCAUUCAGAAAUUCCACAUCUCCAUUUACAUUUAUUUCUUUCCUUUACCUUAAUAUCAUUGCAUUUGUGUCGAAGCUGUUGCGCAAAAGGUAGAGUGCUUGUUCACGACACAUACAGUACUAGAUCUGUUGGCUCACAGGGACCCGGGUUCAAAUCCGGCCUCCCUCACUUUCCUGUAUGACUCUAAUGUUAUCUAAAUAAAAGGUUGAAAAAGCACCCAAAACAUUUAAUAAAUAAUUAAAAGAUCAGAAGAGGAGAUGGAUUCAGUAUGAGCAAAACUGAGAAAAGAGAGCUAAAGGUCAAAAAAUGGAAAUUACUAAAGUGACUCUUGACUUAUUAGAAGUCACAGAGAGAAAGUACAAGAGAUAUAAAAGCUGUUGGCUUGGCUCACAGGAACCGGAGUUUGAAUCUGGCCUGGGGCCAUGUCCUGAUUCUGCUCACCCUUUCUCUCCUCCACUUUCCUGUCUACCGCUACUGUCUACUAAAUAAAAGAUUGUAAAAUCCCCAAAAUAAAAACGAUAAUUGCAUUUUGAA